UCCCAGCUUUGUUUCACUGGUAAAAAUAGCCAAGAGAGAGUGUAAGGUGCUAGUGCUGGAAUGAAUCAAAGAUGUACACAAAAGGUGAUCUGGACUGUGGGAGCUUAUGACAAAAGCAUCACUGUCCUGUGGCUGUGCUUCAACACAGAGCAGCCGUCAGAUCUUUGUCUUCAUCCCAAGAAGAAGCAACAAUCAUACUGUAAUAAAUGCUAAAGAUGGAGUCAGUGAAUGAGGAAUGAAACAUGAAUCAGAGGACUGGUGCUGAUGAGAUUCUGAUGUGAGCUCAG